ensembl:misc_RNA Metazoa_SRP Metazoan signal recognition particle RNA
GCUGGGCAUGGUGGUGGGCGCCUGUAAUCCCAGCUACUCGGGAGGCUGAGGCAGGAGAAUCGCUUGAACCCAGGAGGUCGAGGUUGCAGUGUGCCAAGAUUGUGCCACUGCACUCUAGCCUGGGUGACAGAGCAAGACUCUGUCUCAA